UGAUAAAUGCAGAAGAAAGACAUCAUGUUUCUCUUCUUGCACCUUUCACCAUUGCCUCUUAUCAGAACUCCAGAGAAUUCAAGAUCUGGAUAACUGUAAGACAUGAUGCAGAGUGGGAGCAAGAGACAAUCUUCACUGUCAGGAUAGCUCUGGCUUGAAUAUGUCUAGAGUAUAUUCCCAGUGUUUGUCACCAAUCCCAGAGGACAGGGGUAGAUUUAUAGGGCAGAACAAGUUAAGGACUGAAAAAGUUGUCUGAGAAGUUACUGGACUGGGAUGAUGGCUUGUUGAAGACAACUGUACUGCAGUAGUGUAACUUGUACUGAUCUGCUUCUCCUUGAAAAAUAAGAAUUAUUCUUAUUGAAAAUAACCAAUUUUCAGUUAUGCUGAGUAGU